AGAGUUUGAUCCUGGCUCAGAACGAACGCUGGCGGCAGGCUUAACACAUGCAAGUCGAACGCCCCGCAAGGGGAGUGGCGCACGGGUGAGUAACGCGUGGGAACGUACCUUUCAGUUCGGAAUAACCUCGGGAAACUGAGGCUAAUACCGGAUAUUCUCUACGGAGGAAAGAUUUAUCGCUGAAAGAUCGGCCCGCGUCA
rnacentral:rRNA from 1 species